rnacentral:rRNA from 1 species
UACGAAGGGUGCAAACGUUGCUCGGAAUUAUUGGGCGUAAAGCGCACGUAGGCGGCUCAACAAGUCGGAUGUGAAAUCCCUCGGCUCAACCAAGGAAGUGCACCCGAAACUGUCGAGCUCGAGUAUGGAAGAGGGUCGCGGAAUUCCCGGUGUAGAGGUGAAAUUCGUAGAUAUCGGGAGGAACACCAGUGGCGAAGGCGGCGACCUGGGCCAAUACUGACGCUGAGGUGCGAAAGCGUGGGGAGCAAACAGG